rnacentral:lncRNA from 1 species
AUGCAGGGCCACUUAUACAUGUCUUGUUGUCCUCACAGACUCUCUAGCGGCUCCAGGAAUCCGUGGGAUUCUCGUGGAGGAGGUUUGAGUUGCAUCUUAGAACAUGGAUCUUCUAUGUUCUUCCAGACUCAGGGCAGGCAUGGCCAUGGUGGGAACGACACCUUCUUGAGAUGGGAUGAAGGCAGGAGAUUCUGUCAUAGGAAGCUCAUGAUCAUUUCCGGUCUCAGCUGGUUGAGAGAAACCCAUUCUUCGCCAGCCAAAUCCUCUGCUGAUCAAACACACCUUGCUGUCAACAUGGACGACCAGGCUAAUUUGAGGUAUGGCAUCCACUCCUCUUCUUGAACUUGUGGCCUGAGCUCGAAUGACAGUGGCUGGAAGAGCCACAGCCAUUGUUUUAUGCAGUGAUUGUUGUUCCAAACAUACUAUAUCGGAUUAACCCCCAACUGAAUCCACUUCGAGGCCCCUGAAGAUGAGGCCUUUAAGAGAGAUUAGAUGUAAGCAGAACACAAAGGUGUGAAGACAUUGCCAAGGACAAGUCGCUUUGCCCACAAUUCUGGAUGUCCUUAUUUUGCAAGGUAAGGGUUUGGACUGCAGAAUUCCCGUAAGAGGCCUCCUUCCAGCUCCUGGAAGAUCCUAGAUUUGGAGUAUCCCCGCUGUUGGAGACUGAAUGCUUGUUCCAAGCCCACCUCCUCACCCCUCACCUUCCUACCCCCACCACCCGCUACCCUGUCCCAAUCCACGUGCUGAACCCCUAACUUGCAAUGUGCUGUUAUUUGGAGAUGGAUUCCUGGGGGUAAUAAUUAAAUCUAGAUGAGAUUAUGAGGGUGAAGCCCUCCUGAUGGGGUCAGCCUUGCAGGUUUGGUUUGGUUUGGUUUUGCUUUUUAGGGCCGCACCUGUGGCAUUUGGAAGUUGCCAGGCAACAGGUCAAGUUGGAAAUGCAGCUGCCAGCCAACACCACAGCCACAGCCAUGUGGGAUCCUUAACCCACUGAGUGAGGCCAGGGAUUGAACCCUCGUCCUCACGGAUACUAGUUGGGUUCAUUAACUCUGAGCCACAAGGGAAAGACGCCAGAGUGAGCACGUGCGUGUGCAUGUGUGUGCACGUGCAUGAGAGAGACACACACAGGCAGGUGCACUGCCAUGCACCAUGGCAGCUGUCUUGCCAGCCUGAAAAGGCUUCACCAAGAACCUAAUCUCCUGGCACCUUGAUCUGAGAUACCCAGGCUUAGAACUGUGAAGGAAUGAACUUCUCCUGCCGAAGCCCCAGCCUCACACCCCCAGUCUGUGGUAUUUUUGUUUCAGCAGCUGGUGCUGACUCAUCCAACUGCCCAGGAAUGAAAUGCUCGCAGGGAGCCGAACUCAGUGAAGCCUGGCCUUUUCACCAGCUCCGCAUCCCUUCAACACAUACUGAAGUCCUGCGUGCUUAUGAGCUGCUCCACCUGGGCUGCACACUGAGGACUUCAGAGAAAUAAACACAGUCUCUGCCUUCCA